CAAGGCUUGACAUAUACCGGAAACGCGCAGAGAUGUACGCCCCCUUGUGGUCGGUAUACAGGUGGUGCAUGGUUGUCGUCAGCUCGUGUCGUGAGAUGUUGGGUUAAGUCCCGCAACGAGCGCAACCCUUGUCCUGUGUUGCCAGCAUGCCCUUCGGGGUGAUGGGGACUCACGGGAGAUUGCCGGGGUCAACUCGGAGGAAGGUGGGGACGACGUCAAGUCAUCAUGCCCCUUAUGUCUUGGGCUGCACACGUGCUACAAUGGCCGGUACAAUGAGCUGCGAUACCGUGAGGUGGAGCGAAUCUCAAAAAGCCGGUCUCAGUUCGGAUUGGGGUCUGCAACUCGACCCCAUGAAGUCGGAGUCUCUAGUAAUCGCAGAUCAGCAUUGCUGCGGUGAAUA
rnacentral:rRNA from 1 species